rnacentral:rRNA from 1 species
CCUACGGGCGGCUGCAGUCGGGAAUUUUGGGCAAUGGGGGCAACCCUGACCCAGCAACGCCGCGUGAGCGAUGAAGGCCUUCGGGUCGUAAAGCUCUGUCGGGAGGGAAGAAGGUCCUCGGGGUGAACAAUCCCGGGGGCUUGACGGUACCUCCAAAGGAAGCGCCGGCUAACUCCGUGCCAGCAGCCGCGGUAAUACGGAGGGCGCAGCGGUUGUUCGGGGUUUCUGGGCGUAGGUGGGGAGGCGGCGGGCCUAACCCCGGAACUGCACUCGAAACUGCCUCGCUCGAGUCCCGGAGAGGAUGGUGGAAUUCCCGGUGUAGUGGUGAAAUACGUAGAUAUCGGGAGGAACACCAGCGGCGAAGGCGGCCAUCUGGACGGUGACUGACGCUGAGACGCGAAAGCGUGGGGAGCAAACAGGAUUAGAUACCCGGGUAGUC